rnacentral:rRNA from 1 species
UACGGAGGGGGCUAGCGUUGUUCGGAAUUACUGGGCGUAAAGCGCACGUAGGCGGCUUUGUAAGUUAGAGGUGAAAGCCCGGGGCUCAACUCCGGAAUUGCCUUUAAGACUGCAUCGCUAGAAUUGUGGAGAGGUGAGUGGAAUUCCGAGUGUAGAGGUGAAAUUCGUAGAUAUUGGGAAGAACACCGGUGGCGAAGGCGGCUUACUGGUCCGGUUCUGGACGCUGAGGCGCGAAAGCGUGGGGAGCAAACAGG